rnacentral:lncRNA from 1 species
GAUUAUGGAUCCUAAAAUAAUACCCCUAGGGAAAGAAAACCCCCUUUUAUCAAAACCUCUACCAGACUCCUUAUAGGCAUCGCUUUAAUACUCAUUAUUGCUCUGUGGAGCACCUCCUGCAUUUUCCAGAUCAGAACAAAUCACAGAGAAUAAAUGGCCCACAACUGAACAUUUAAACCUCAGGCACAGAACCCUGCAAACCCUGUGCUCCCCAGCACAUUCGAAGGGACUUGUGGUCUGUGUAGGGUUUGGCUGUUAGGAAAUCCUGCCAGUUAUACUCAGGAGAGUAGAGUUAAGCAGGUCAACCUUUGUCCAGCAUGCACAAGGGAGGGAAUGUGUUCAGUCCUCAGUACCAGGCGACCGAAAACAAGAAGUCCAAGUACAGCCUUGACUAUUUCAACCAUUUCAGAAGUCCUCACAGAGAUGGACACUUCCUGAAAUCUAUAUUCCGCACUACAGUUGCCUGUAAAUACCAGUGGAGACUUGUCAGAGAAACUUAGAUUUCAGCUCAGGGACAAAAACCAGGAUGUGGAUCAAGAGGGCACGGUUUCAGCAUUCCAGAGCAGUAACCCAGCAGGGAAAGGGUGGACCCUGAGGCCGCUCAUCCCAGAUCUGACCCAGAGGUCUCAAUUAAAAAAAAAAAAAAAAAAAA